UCGCUUACUUUAUCGGACCCCAAUAUUCCCCAUCAUGCAACGGAAUUUCCUUAACAUGCUUCACAAUGGCGGAAUAUUUUUACCACGUCCGUCAAUAAAAAGACAUCGGACGUUGAGUUUUCAAACAAGUUUUGCAGUCGUACCAAGAGAGAGAAAGAAAGAAGAAAAAAUGGUAAAAUGAAAAGAUUAGAGCCAAGCCCUCGACGUGAACGUGCCUUUUUAGCUCAGCAUGAUACUUAACGCAACAAGGCCCCGGACAUAAUGAAGCAGAGGCUCCUGAAAUCGCUCGAGCCAAGAUAUAAGUGGAAGUUGCAGUAGAGAAGCACGUGCAUAUUUUAGCGCCGUUUUGUUCAACACUUUGAUGCCUGUGUCCACUCUACCAGCUAGGUACCUCCAGCCCGUGUACAUUUUAUGGUCCCUACCAGUUGGGAAAAGUGUGGCUGUAUCCACCAUCAGCCAGAUACUGCAGAAUACAGGUAACCAGUAGAAAAUUCUCUCUUGUCAUAAAGGCCAGAUGAAGAAGGGACAGUUUUAACCGUUAGCAAAUGAAGUGGUAAUAGUCUAUGAUGGGUUUCCAGCACGAAAUGUGUUAAUGUGUUUAAAAUAUUUUCAACCGUGCUGUGAUGUUUAGCACAUCAAUUUCAAUGAAGAUAUUGGCUUGAAAAUCUCUUGCGAUAUUUCCAUAUAUAACUAUACUGAUAUUGUUACUUUUCAAAACCAGUGUUUGUUGUGCACCGAAAUAAUGUCUUCCUUCUCUCUGUGUGUAUAAAUAAUUUGUUUUACA